UUUUUCAAAAACAUCGCCUCCUGCAACUUUCUAUGUAUAGGAGGUCCAGCCUGCCCAGUGACUACGGGUUCAACGGCCGCGGUAUUUUGACCGUGCAAAGGUAGCGCAAUCACUUGUCUUUUAAAUGAAGACCUGUAUGAAUGGCCAAACGAGGGCUUAGCUGUCUCCCCCUUCUAGUCAGUGAAAUUGAUCUACCCGUGCAGAAGCGGGUGUAAUUAUACAAGACGAGAAGACCCUUUGGAGCUUAAGGUACAAAACUUAACCACGUUAAACAAAUUUAUAAAAAAUAUAAACUUAGUGAGAUGCAAAGUUUUACCUUCGGUUGGGGCGACCACGGAGGAAAGACAAGCCUCCAAGCGGACGGGGCCAACACCCUAAAACUAAGAGGGACACCUCUAAGCCACAGAAUAUCUGACCAAUAAUGAUCCAGCAUAAAGCUGAUCAACGGACCAAGUUACCCUAGGGAUAACAGCGCAAUCCUCUCCCAGAGUUCAUAUCGACGAGAGGGUUUACGACCUCGAUGUUGGAUCAGGACAUCCUAAUGGUGCAGCCGCUAUUAAGGGUUCGUUUGUUCAACGAUUAAAGUCCUACGUGAUCUGA
rnacentral:rRNA from 1 species